ensembl:Y_RNA Y_RNA Y RNA
UGCUGAUCUGAGUGCAUUGGUGUUUACAACUAAUCGAUCACAACCGGUUACAGAUUUCUUUGUACCUUCUCCACUCCCACUGCUUUACUGACCAGCCUUAA